UACGUAGGUGGCUAGCGUUGUCCGGAUUUACUGGGCGUAAAGCGCGCGCAGGCGGUCGUUCAAGUCGAGUGUGAAAGCCCCGGGCUUAACCUGGGAAUGGCCAUGGAAACUGGCGAACUGGAGUGUGGCAGAGGGGGGUGGAAUUCCGCGUGUAGCAGUGAAAUGCGUAGAGAUGCGGAGGAACACCGAUGGCGAAGGCAGCCCCCUGGGCUAGCACUGACGCUCAGGCACGAAAGCGUGGGGAGCAAACAGG
rnacentral:rRNA from 1 species